rnacentral:rRNA from 1 species
CGAAAGCCUGACGGAGCAAUACCGCGUGAGGGAGGAAGGUUCUUGGAUUGUAAACCUCUUUUCUUAGGGAAGAAGUACUGACGGUACCUAAGGAAUAAGCAUCGGCUAACUCCGUGCCAGCAGCCGCGGUAAUACGGAGGAUGCAAGCGUUAUCCGGAAUUAUUGGGCGUAAAGCGUCCGUAGGUGGUUUAUCAAGUCUGCUGUUAAAGCAUGGAGCUUAACUCCAUAAAGGCAGUGGAAACUGGUGAACUUGAGUUCGGUAGGGGUAGCGGGAAUUCCCAGUGUAGCGGUGAAAUGCGUAGAUAUUGGGAAGAACAUCGGUGGCGAAAGCGCGCUACUGGGCCGAAACUGACACUGAGGGACGAAAGCUAGGGUAGCG